rnacentral:tRNA from 2 species
GGAUAGGUGGCCGAGCGGUUUAAGGCACUAGUCUUGAAAACUGGCGUAUGGGCAACUGUACCGUGGGUUCGAAUCCCACCCUAUCCG